AUGGGUCCCAGGCUUCUCCACUGUGUGGCCUUUUGUCUCCUUGGAGCAGGUCACAUAGGUGCCAUGGUCAUCCAGAACCCAGGGUACCUGGUUACCAGGAUGGGAAAACCAGUGACCCUGAGUUGUUCUCAGAAUCUGAAUCAUGAAGUCAUGUUCUGGUACCAACAGAAGCUGAGCCCAGCACCAAGCCUGCUGUUUUACUACUAUGAUAAAGAAUUCAACAAUGAAAAAGACACCUCUGAUAACUUGCAGUCCAGCUGGCUGAACACCUCCUUCUGUUCUCUUGGCAUCCGCUCAGCAGGCCUGGGGGACUCAGCCACGUAUCUCUGUGCCAGCAGCGGAGGAGGAGGAGGAAAGGGGCUAUCGAUAUGGGUCCUGCCUUCCAGCCAGAAGCAGGCUGACCUCCGCUGGUUUCUCUGUCCAGUCCAGUCCUAUCCGGAGGAUAAACUUCCCGAACAACCCUGCCCGGCCGAGGGCAGCUAG